rnacentral:lncRNA from 1 species
AUGCUUUUCAGAAGCAGCGCCGAGACACCAGGAAGGGGAGGCAUGACUGGUGCUCCAGCAGCACCCAGCAAACCACAGCAUGGAAUCGUGCCCUUCGUGUGCCGGGCCACCUGGGGACCGGCCUGUGCAGAAGGGGGUGACUGCAAGGAGACUUCCGACCUGCCUGCCUUUUCUUUCCAAAGCCUGACCAGGCUUGCAGCUUUCUUGUUAAGCCAAGCACAGGCUAAUCCUCUCGGCUCUGCCCUUCGAGGUACCGGCUACCCAUCAGGGAAGAGCAACGUGACUUCAUCAGCCAAGAAAAGGGGGUUACUGGGAAAGCCGCUGCAUAGCCAAGGGAGGAAGUGGAGCUGGAUUUCACACCUUAACCAAGAAAACCACUUCCAAGCUCUUAAAACCAGACCAGUGCUAGAUUCUGCAGCCUUACCUUGGGACAGCAAGUGAGCGGUGUCUUCAGGGAGCAGGAUGCAUCACCAGAGGUUCACAUGUGAUGGUGUGGUCCCCAACACGAGGGCAUUUAGAGGAUGGAAAUUUGUGAAGGACUUGGAACUCUGCUUAAUAAAACACGGUGAGAUGAAUAGGUAGGUAUAUUA